CCCUGCCCUUUGCACACGUACUUUUGCAAGCCCUUGUAUUCUAUUGUGCACAUCAAACUAGAAAUUUAAAAGGAAAACGUUGUUUAAAAAGAAUCUUCGCAAGAUGCCCGACGAUGGAGCUUUCCUUGUUAUAGCAUCUUUUGUGUGGUUUUUGGUUUGCUACUUUCUGAAUGUCGCUAUUCAACAAAUAAACCAACUAAGUCCAAAAACUCAGCAGGAACAUGAGGUCCCCAAAAGCCCAGGUCAUGCAAAAAUCGAGGAAGAAGAAAUCAACCUUGCCAUGUCUGAAGGGGGAAAGAGAAUACCGUUACUGGACAUUUACUUAUCCGAGAACUUGGUCGUGACGAGUAUCACACGAGGCGGUGUGGUGGACCGGGACGGCAGGGUAAAAGUGGGGGACCAUCUUGUCCAACUGACCAACCAGGAAGGGAGGGAUGUCAAUCUGAUCGGAAUGUAGAAGAGCGAAAUUUGCCCGUUAAGAAGGCACUUUGGCGACCAUGCUAAAUUUAGGGUGAAACGGUUAGUGUUCGUAGAGGAAGAUGAGGCAUCUCCAGAGGAAGGGGAAUCUUCGCAAUGUGAACGUGUGCUGGCCUCUUUAGUUACGAAAGUGGACAAAAUUAGGGACGAGAUGCGGGUGAUUUUGGCAAAACUUGAUACCAAAACGGUUGAAGGUGUGACGAUGGUGGGAGAAAGUGUGACGAUGGCGGAAGAAGGUCAUCUUCCUAUGGGAGAAGUGGGGGAAGGUGAGAUUACACGUGUGAAAGACGGCGAUGAUAAUGAAACAGCACACGUGGUAGGAUCUGACCUCGCAUGGUUAGAUGGUGGCUGGGUUUUACUGUCAUAAAAUUAUUACUGCUUGAUUUCUUACACUUUUUCGGGAUUUCGUGAACUGCACUGUUAAACAACUUUAUAAAAAUGCUAAGGGUAAGAAAUAGAAGAAAUAGAAGACACUAUUUAAAUGGCUAUCACUUCGUAAUACAGUUAAUUGUGCGGAUUUUCGGCUGUAUUUCGUUCAUUCCUUUAACGCAAAAAAAUUUUGAUUUUUUAAAAACCAAAUUUUAAUGUUACUACAUUCAAUUCAUAGAUAUGUGUG